AAAAACAUUACAGGGUGAAUCCUCUAUUGGCAGGAGACGCUGAUGACUCAAUACAUUUUGUCAUCAUUUUCCUCUGCCAAAGGAGAUUUGCCUCGCAAUUUUUUC
rfam:Brassica napus, WGS project CCCW01000000 data, contig: 3247